GCCUAGUUAGCUUAGAGGUUAGAGCGUCUACCUUGUAAGCUCUAGGUUGCGGGUUCGAAUCCUGCCCGAGACG
rfam:Asian citrus Psyllid, Diaphorina citri - Florida Strain, whole genome shotgun sequence.